rnacentral:lncRNA from 1 species
GGCACUCCUCCUCCAUCCGGUGGCAAAGCCCCUCCAAGUCCUCCACAAGGUUUUCCAUUUCCUCAUCUUCCAUUUCCUCAUCUUCCGUUUCCAUGGCCUUUUCCUCAUCCACCGCCACUGGCACUCCAUCCGCUCCAUCCGGCGACAAAGCCCCCUCCAAGUCCUCCAGCCAAAUGUCCUCCUGGGCCUCUAACCAAUAAACCUCCGGCUGGCCAGAAUUAGAGUUUGAUGUGGCUGUUUAUUUUAGACUAAUAAUAUAAAUGUCUCAAUGUUUUAGACUUUAAAAUAGAAUAUUAGUAUAGAUUAAAUAAAAGGUCGUAUUAGUAUCUAUUCUUUUUUUAAUAAAAGUUCUUGAUUUGUAGAGAAGGCCG